CUAUUUUCGUUGGUUUAGGUACUAUAGUAAUGAUUAAUAGAAACGGUUGGGGGCAUUUGUAUUUGGCCGCUAGAGGUGAAAUUCUUGGAUUGGCCGAAGACAAACUACUGCGAAAGCAUUUGACCCAGGACGUUUUCAUU
rnacentral:ncRNA from 1 species